GUGUUGGAAACAUAACUUCCACGGUCCUUUCUGAGUGGUUGUAUCAACAAAGCUGUUCAAUCUUUGCACCCAGAGGUUGCAGUAAGUCUGGAUGCCACAUCAAACUGUUUGUGGUACUUCUAAACUUCGUGGAAGAGCCCUGUUUCAUAAAUCUGAGACAGCCUUGGUCUGAGGGAGCAAAGACAGAGAAUUCACGUGCUGCCCAGGCAUAGCCACAUAGCAGGUGGACAUCCCUGGACACUUUUCUGACCCUCAUUGGAUUUUCCUGGAAGUACGGAGAGUUACAUCCAGAGAACUCUGAACAUUUUGGAAGGACCCCAAUCCUGCAAACAAUGAAUGGCAAUAAAUCCUGGGACUGGAAAGGGGCUUCUCAACCCCAAGGCAACCAUAAAGUCCUAUACAAAGAAAGAUACAGCAGUGUGAAAGAGGCCUGGAUGAAAAAACAAAGACAGAGCCAGUGAGCCAGAGCCAGAGCCAGAGGACAAGAGAGAAAGGCAGAGAAUGGAAAACACAGACAGAGAAGGCAGAUGCGUAGAGAGACAGAGAUUCAAUGAGAAAAUAAGGAAGGAAGAAAGAAAGAAAACAAAAACGUUCUCAGCACUACAACUUCUGCCUUGUUCUGUUCCAGAACAGUAUGAGCUCAGUACUUUUUCAGACUCUCAAUUUUCUACAACUAAUAAUUUGCUCUUUCAGUUAGUGGCAAAGGCUUAACGACAAAGGUUCAUCUUUAAUAUUAGAGAGGCACUUUUAAAAUUUAUGAUGCUAAGCCUUUUGUUCUGGAUAUGGUAUGUUGCACAGGUCUAGGGACUGGGAUUUCAGAUGUCUAUUCCGUACCCUUAUUCUUUUAUUUAUUAAAUCUUUUAGUGUGUAUUUUUUUCUAUUUUCUCUUCUUUUAUUAGUAUGUAUUUCUUGAGUCAUUAACAUACAACAUAUAUAGGACUUCCUCUGAGGAUACAAUAAUGUAUAUGAUGGACAAGAUACGUAAAAGUGCCUUGAAGAGACUUGGUCUUGUGAGGGGACAGACAGGAAACAGGCAAUUAUCACCUAACUUAGGUCUGUUGUUUCAAGGUAAAAUAAGAAUAAUAACAUCUGUGUUGGCUGGGAUGUUGUGAGUGUUUGUGGAGAUAAUAGUACAAAUGAAAUUACUGAGGGACAAUGGUGAAGAUAGGGCCAUAUCAUGGAGCUUACACUAGUGAUGGAAGGAGAUGGGAGAUACAAAAGCAAGUCAAUAUUUCAGAUUUCGUAAAUGAAUGGCAAGCAUAGAGCAGUGAGGCAGAGAAUGACUGGAGAAAGAGACUAUGUUAAACUGGAUAGUAAAGGAAGAGCAGGACCCCACUAAACUAUAUGGAGUUUUGUGCAAAUCACAUGAACACACGUAGAACAUUUUAGGCUGCUCAUGUGACUUUGGAUUUGUCCUAAGGGCAAUAGUAAGCCUUUGAACUGCUUUAGCAUGAUAGGAUUUUAAAAGAUCACUGGCUGCUGUGUGAACAAAAAUAAUGUUGUAAAGAAAAGGAUAUUAGCUGUAUCAGAUCAGCUGGAGACUACUGAAAUAACCCAAGCUGGCUUGGACUACAUAGGAGUAGUGUAAACUCAUUCAUUCAUGCAAGAAAUACUUACUGAGUGCCUACUCAGUACCAGACCCUUUUCUAGGACAUGGAGUUAUAGCAGUGAACAAUAUAGAAAAAAAUCCCCGAAUUCAUGGAGACUCCAGUGAGCAGAGACAAAAAAAUAGCAACUAAAUAAGUUAAAAGGAAUUGAGUACCCUAUAAAAGUUUAUCAGGGAAAUGUUAUAAGGAAUGACUUUCGGAGUAAUGGGUAGUGAUCUUAAAUGUAUGGUCAAUGAAAAUCAGAAGUUGUAGAGAAGUGGAUAAAUUCACAGUACGUUUUAAAGUAGACCUAAUAAGACUUAAUGAAUUUGAUGUGGCAAGUGAGAAAAAUACAUCAAGGAUGAUGACUUUUAUAAUUUGACUUGAGUAUCUGGGAACAAACAAGUACAGUGCCAUAAUAAGGGCAGAAAAUUUUCCAUUCACUCAGCAACUUAUGAACUCAUUUGCUUAGUCUUUAUUGCCUCUUGCAUUAUGUAGUUUUCACUUUGCUGGAGUACUUGUAUAGAAGAUCACCAGUGAAGAAGCCAGAGAUGGUUUAUUUGGUCAUCCCAAUAAUACAUCUUAUUGUUAAUUAACUCUCAAGGGUUUUUUUUCACAAUUUUAGAAAAGGUUUAAGCAAAUGAAUUAUUUAACAUGAAUUGGCUAUGUGACCCUACUAUAAGGUGUUUAAAACACCAACAGCUUAAACUUCUUAGAUCAAAGGACAUCCUCCAGGCCAAAAUGUUUCCACUGGAACGGUUUCUUUGCUUCCUGAUUAAAAGCUUCCCUAAUAUA
rnacentral:lncRNA from 10 species